UGGGGAAUCUUGGACAAUGGGGGCAACCCUGAUCCAGCCAUGCCGCGUGGGUGAUGAAGGCCUUAGGGUCGUAAAGCCCUUUCGCGGGGAAGAUUAUGANAGGUACCCCAGUAAAGAAGCCCCCGCUAAGCUCCGUGCCAGCAGCCGCGGUAAUACGGAGGGGGCUAGCGUUGUUUGGAAUGACUGGCGUAAAGCGCGCGUAGGCGGAUCAGAAGUUGGGGUGAAAUCCCGGGGCUCAACCCUGGAAUGGCCUUCAAAACUCCUGGUCUUGAGUUCGAGAGAGGUGAGUGGAAUUCCGAGUGUAGAGGUGAAAUUCGUAGAUAUUCGGAGGAACACCAGUGGCGAAGGCGGCUCACUGGCUCGACACUGACGCUGAGGUGCGAAAGCGUGGGGAGCAAAACAGGAUUAGAUACCCUGGUAGUCCACGCCGUAAACGAUGAAUGCCAGACGUCGGGGGGCUUGCCCUUCGGUGUCACACCUAACGGAUUAAGCAUUCCGCCUGGGGGAGUACGGCC
rnacentral:rRNA from 1 species